rnacentral:rRNA from 1 species
AGUCGAGGGAGAAUUGCUUUCGGGCAGCAGGAACCGGCGAACGGGUGCGUAACACGUAUGCAACCUACCUAUAACUGGGGGAUAGCCCGAAGAAAUUCGGAUUAAUACCCUAUAAUAUUUACUACUCGCAUGAGUUGGUAUCUUAAAACUCCGGUGGUUAUAGAUGGGCAUGCGGCCUAUUAGUUUGUUGGUGAGGUAACGGCUCACCAAGACUACGAUAGGUAGGGGUUCUGAGAGGAUGAUCCCCCACACUGGUACUGAGACACGGACCAGACUCCUACGGGAGGCAGCAGUAGGGAAUAUUGGUCAAUGGACGCAAGUCUGAACCAGCCAUGCCGCGUGCAGGAAGACGGCCCUAUGGGUUGUAAACUGCUUUUAUAUAGGAAGAAACCUUUCCACGUGUGGAAAGCUGACGGUACUAUUUGAAUAAGGACCGGCUAACUCCGUGCCAGCAGCCGCGGUAAUACGGAGGGUCCAAGCGUUGUCCGGAUUUAUUGGGUUUAAAGGGUACGUAGGCGGGAUUUUAAGUCAGUGGUGAAAGCCUCCAGCUCAACUGGAGAAACUGCCCUUGAAACUGAAAUUCUUGAAUAUGGAUGAGGUGGUUGGAAUAUAACAUGUAGCGGUGAAAUGCUUAGAUAUGUUAUAGAACACCAAUUGCGAAGGCAGAUCACCUAACCAUUAUUGACCCUGAGGUACCAAAGCCGGGGGAGCGAAAAGGAUUAAAUACCCUGGUAGCUCCCCCCCUAAACAAGGUCACUCGCUGUUGGCGAUAUACUGGUCGCGGCCCAACGAAAACAU